UCUCUAUUUUGUGAAUGAGGAAAGAAGCUGAAAGGAGUUAAAUGACUUGCCCAAGUCACAAGUUAAUAAACAGAGGAGCUAGACUUCAGAAUUAGAUUCCUGUCUGGUGCUCCUUUUCCUAUACCUGCCGUCAAUUAUCCAAAGCUCACCAACAUUUAGGGAAGUACCAUACAAAGAAGCAUAAUUUAAAUUAAUAGAGAUUCCACACUGACUAUUAAAUUAUCACAUGUAAAUUAAUUAUAAUAUUCAAAUAUGAAGGAAGAUACAUGAUUUGCUAUUCUCACACCUGCCUAGUGGAUUGAAAAUUCAGAAGAUUUGCAUGUAGCGAAGUUCAAAAAUUUUCAAAUCUUUUUAUCUAAUAUUUCCACAAUAAGUAAUCCAUAUUUAAUUAAAAUGGAAAAAAAAGUUUUAUAUACCAAGUUGUUUGUUAAUAUUUAUUUUUAAUUAUGACACAAAGUAAAUAUUUCUCAAAGACUAGAGUGAUUUAAUAGUUAGACAAAGCAGUGGAAUAUUAUACAACCAUUAAAAUAACGUUUACAAGGAGUUCCAGUCAUGGCUCAGUGGUAACAAACCUGACUAGUGUCCAUGAGGAUGCAAGUUUGAUCCCUGGCCUCAGUCACUGGGUUAAGGAUCCAGCAUUGCCACAAGCUGUGGUGUAGGUCACAGACACGGCUCUCAGCUGGUGAUGUUGUGGGUGUAGCGUAGACUGGCAGCUGCAGCUUUGAUUCGACCCUGGCUUGGGAAUUUCCAUAUGCCAUGGCUGUGACCCUAAAAAGCAAAAAUAAAUAAAUAAAUGAAUGAAUUAACUAAAAAAAAUAAUGUUUACAUGCUUUUAAUACUAUGGAAGAUUUGUUAAUGAAGAAAAGCAGAGCAUAUAGGGCUUCAGAGAAGAUAGAAGGAAAUAGCUGAAAUGUCAUCAGUAAUUGGAAUGAUGGAAUUAUGAGUAAUAAUACAUGCACACUUUUUUUUCUGCUUCUCUGCAUUCUGAAGUGUUUCCAAAAUGACUACUUUUUUCUUUAUAAUUUAAAACCACAUUUUUUAAAAGGUAAAAAAAAUGUAAAAAUGCAGUUUUUCAAAAUCAGAAGAAAGCAUCUGGUGAACUAGUAUGAUACUCUGGUUAGUGCUUUUUUUUUGAAAUCGAGGAAUCUGGUUGAGUUCAAGUUGUGGGUUCUGUAUGCUAACCAAUCUCUCAAGGAUCUUUCUGCAUCUGUUUCCUAGGACUACUGGAUCAGAAUGACCAGUUACCACCUCUCGGCUAAAAACUUUCAAGUCUUCCUUUCUAAGGGCACGCCGAUGCCUUUCAGGGUGAUUCCUAAUUGUAUACAGUUGGGGUGCGGGGCAGGGCUGCCUUUCCAUUCUUUCUCCUCCUCUAGGUUACCCCUAUGCUUGUACCCUGUAGCUCUAGAACAUAGUGUUAGGUGAAGAUCAUCUGAUUUCCAGCUGAUCAGAUAUUUUCUGCAGUACACGCCCUUCCAUUGAACUGAACUAGAAUCGAGUUCCAUUGCUUUGCAUCCAGAAUGCUGACUAACAAACACACUGACAACCAUUCUGCACUGGAGUAUGAGCAAAUACUUUCCUUCAGGUCUAUAAAAGUUAGCAAGGAAGCAUUUUCAGUAUCCAAAUAAAAUUAAGGUAAAGGCUAAUGGCUGUAACAUAACACCUCACCCAGAAAGACCUAGGGAAAACAUCAAAGGGCACCAUACAUCAAUUCAAAGCUUUAAAAGGGGUUUAAUGUCAUAAACACGUUUUAGGCUUCAGUAUGAUCUGAAAACGAAUAUUCUCAGAGUAGCCACGAAUGGGUGGGCUCAGAGAGAUCACAGUAUGUCAUUUUAUAACUUGAAUCAGAAGGCUGCAGUAUAUUGCAGGGUUCUUGAUUAUCUUACACCUCCUAGAUGCAGGCUUUUUUUUUGUAUUUAUUCUGGCUGUUCUUCAAGACCUUUUCUUGAGAAGGACAUGGUCUUUGGCCAGUUUAAGCUACUGUCAGUGUUCUGAAGAUAACCUGCUAAUGCUUCAAUUCCUUUGUAAUUAAAAUUUUCCUGGAGUGGUGCAUUGGAUUUGUAAUAACUCUCUCAUGACAGCAAAGCCAAGCAGAAGACCCAAGCCUGUGUCCUAUAGUCCUUUACAGAAUAACGGUCCCCACAACAGAUACUCAGCUUCUUACGGCAGCUUUAACUCAAUGAGGCAAGUGUUCUCUUAGAGGGUACAGAAACCAAAGCAGCUUUUAAAACAAGAAGCUGACAUAAUUGACUUUGAGUUCUGUCCUAAAGAGAUAUUUCCUCAGCUUUGGUUCUAUUUUUUUUAGCUAGCCAAUUAACCAGGAUAACAACUUUGACUUGCAAGUAGAUUUCUUCCGAAGAAUGCAAACAAAGCCACCAUCUCUUUAAAAACAGCUGUGGGGCAGGAGGCUCUAGGUUUUGAUGGGCCAGAUCUUGCAUUUAUUUUGCCCUGUAUUGACUGUUAGCCCUCCUCUCUCUCUCCAUCCCCGCCUCCCACUUUCCAGCUUACCUUGGGUGAGGCGUGCGGGAGCUGCUGCCAGGUCUUCUGGAAAGGUGAGAGCAGGAGGAUGACACAGCAUUUUUAGGACUCCAUAAAACCAAGAGCCUCUGCUUCCUCUUUAGAGACAAAGUAAUGCCCUAGGUGCUGCCACUUAUAAUGUUGUCUAAUCUAGAGGUAAAACCUCUCUUCCUUAUUUCUUCCCAGCCAUGCCAAUUCUCUCCUUCAUACCCUGGUGUCUUCUCCUCCCCUUUUAGCAACUGGAGACUUUAUUACUGAACCUCAGAGGUCAUCAGAUGAGCUCAAUUUGCCCUUCUCCACCUUCCUCUGCCUUCAACUGGCUAUGCCUUUUUCAGGCACACAAUUCUCUUCCCUGCCCGAGUUCCCUUGCUUUCUGCCUCGGAGACACCAUUUGGCCUAGGUGACCUUUCUGAUUCACAAAAGUAAUCUCUUUCUCAUGUUCUCUUUUUUUGGGGGUAAAAGUUUGCCUUUAUUUUUUGUUUGUUCCAUCCUUCCUAUGACCAGGUAUUAUAAACACUGGGGUGCAAUGGUAAUAAUCAUGCAGGGUCCCUGUGCUCAGACCUCACCAUCCAGUAGAGAAACAGGAAAUGAAUGGCUGUGGAUAGAAUAAGUAGUGGGGUGAGUGUGACUGUAUGGACUUAAUCCCUCCAACCUUGUUGUUGGGCUGGGGGAUGUCUUCCCUGAUAAAGUAAGAGCUCAGUGAGCAGGGAGUGAAGUAGGAGUCAGUUAGGUGAAGUGGGGGAGUUAACAAACUAAGGAAACAGAUUUUUUUGUGUGUUCUAUGCAUAUAGUUGUGGAAUUUUUGGAAAAUAGAAAAGGAUAAUGAAUGGAAAACAUUAUCUUAAACCCUCAUUAUUCAAAUAUUAACCAUUAAAAUUAUGGCACCUUUUCUUCUAAUCUUGGGUGUAGGUGUCGGGGGGAAGAUGAGGAAGUCAUGAAGAAAUGAGCCAGAUUCUGCAUUUUUCAAAUUAUUUACUGUAUAGUCAAUGUUGAGUCUUGCUUUUUUUUUUUUCCACUUAAAACUGUACUAUAAGCUUUGCUUCACUCCAUUAAAUCUUUCAAAAACAUCAUUUUAAUGGCUCAUUUAGUCUUUCCACAGGAGUCCCUCCUGGUUUCUCUCCUUCCUGUCCUCACACCAGUAAUCUCUCUUGUUCAUGCCUCCAAAUCAGACUCACCCUCUCAGUGUUCUUUGAGAAUUGAUAAUAUCGGUCACAUUUGUAAUCUCCAUCAUUUGUGUGAAUUGAGAAUACCCAGCCCUGAAAAUAAUUGUAUCAAAGGUGCCUAAACCCAGGGCACUUCAGGUAUCCUCCUUUACUGCCUUUGGGAUUCCCUUCCAUGGGUGGUCAGUGUUUCUGACUAAUCUAUCAAUUGAUAUUCCUUUAGAACAUAAACAAGAGUCCAAAGCCAAUACACCUUGGCUAAAUCUGCCCUGAAGCUUUUUUGGACUCCUUUCAUUGGGUAACAUCUCAGUCCUUCCCACUGUGAGUUAUUGAUGUUGCCACUCAUCAUUUGCCUUGGAACUUUUCCUUUAAUUAGGGUUAGAGAUGGGUUUGGGACCUCAAGUGCCAGAUAUUGAUAGUUUCUGCUGCUGAAAUAGUAAAUUCACAGGCAGCUGUUGGGCAAAUCCAGGCGUGGAAGUCACCAGCCUCACCCCUGUAUUUCCUCCUGUCACUGUCAUCGUCACCACCAUCUGCGUUAUCAUUACUAUUGGUAGCGCUCACAGCAAGUUCUAUGUGCCAGUCAUUGUGCUUUGUCGGUUACUCAUAGUAUGCUCUUGAAAUUUCAAAAUAACCACCGGAGGUAAGUGUUAAUUGGCAUCCCUACCUCCAAGAAUUAGGUCAAAAUCAGCUAGUAAAUGUCUAGGUUAAUGACCGAACCAGAUUUAUCUGAUUCCAGAGUGCGGUGUCUGAUCUUAGGAGACAAGGCUGAGAAAGGAUGUGUGCGUACGUGCGUGCAUGCAUGCGCAAGUGUGUGUGUGUGUGUGUGGGGGGAAGCAGAGAGGAGAAAAAUGGGAGAAGCAGAGUUAGAAAAAAGAAAGACUGGAGAAUAUUUUCACAUGAGGGAUAUUUGACAGAGUUCAUUAGCCUUUAUGUUUCUGACUUCAAAAAAGGCCAUUAGGGGCUUCUCAUUGUGGCGUAGCAGAAAAAACCCAGCUAGUAUCCAUGAGGAUGAGGGUUCCAUCCCUGGCCUCGCUCCGUAGGUUAAGGAUCUGGCGUUGCGGUGAGCCGUGGUGUAGGUUGUGGACGCGGUGGGGAUCCCGCAUUGCUGUGGCUGUGGUGUAGACCAGCAGAUGUUGUAGCUCCAAUUCCGUGAUUCCACCCCUAGCCUGGGAACUUCCAUA
rnacentral:lncRNA from 1 species